rnacentral:rRNA from 1 species
GUACUCGAGUGGCGAACGGGUGAGUAACACGUGGGUGAUCUGCCCUGCACUUUGGGAUAAGCCUGGGAAACUGGGUCUAAUACCGAAUAUGACCGCGCACUUCCUGGUGUGUGGUGGAAAGCUUUUGCGGUGUGGGAUGGGCCCGCGGCCUAUCAGCUUGUUGGUGGGGUAAUGGCCUACCAAGGCGACGACGGGUAGCCGGCCUGAGAGGGUGACCGGCCACACUGGGACUGAGAUACGGCCCAGACUCCUACGGGAGGCAGCAGUGGGGAAUAUUGCACAAUGGGCGCAAGCCUGAUGCAGCGACGCCGCGUGAGGGAUGACGGCCUUCGGGUUGUAAACCUCUUUCAAUAGGGACGAAGCGCAAGUGACGGUACCUAUAGAAGAAGGACCGGCCAACUACGUGCCAGCAGCCGCGGUAAUACGUAGGGUCCGAGCGUUGUCCGGAAUUACUGGGCGUAAAGAGCUCGUAGGUGGUUUGUCACGUUGUUCGUGAAAACUCACAGCUUAACUGUGGGCGUGCGGGCGAUACGGGCAGACUAGAGUACUGCAGGGGAGACUGGAAUUCCUGGUGUAGCGGUGGAAUGCGCAGAUAUCAGGAGGAACACCGGUGGCGAAGGCGGGUCUCUGGGCAGUAACUGACGCUGAGGAGCGAAAGCGUGGGGAGCGAACAGGAUUAGAUACCCUGGUAGUCCACGCCGUAAACGGUGGGUACUAGGUGUG